rnacentral:rRNA from 1 species
UGGGGAAUAUUGGACAAUGGGCGCAAGCCUGAUCCAGCAAUGCCGCGUGUGUGAAGAAGGCCUUCGGGUUGUAAAGCACUUUUAUCAGGAGCGAAACGCUGUCGGCUAAUACCCGGCGGAACUGACGGUACCUGAGGAAUAAGCACCGGCUAACUUCGUGCCAGCAGCCGCGGUAAUACGAAGGGUGCAAGCGUUAAUCGGAAUUACUGGGCGUAAAGCGUGCGUAGGCGGUUUCUUAAGUCUGCUGUGAAAUCCCCGGGCUCAACCUGGGAAUGGCAGUGGAUACUGGGAGGCUAGAGUGUGUCAGAGGGUGGUGGAAUUCCCGGUGUAGCGGUGAAAUGCGCAGAGAUCGGGAGGAACAUCAGUGGCGAAGGCGGCCACCUGGGACAACACUGACGCUGAGGCACGAAAGCGUGGGGAGCAAACAGGAUUAGAUACCCUGGUAGUCCACGCCCUAAACGAUGCGAACUGGAUGUUGGUCUCAACUCGGAGAUCAGUGUCGAAGCUAACGCGUUAAGUUCGCCGCCUGGGGGAGUACGGUCGCAAGACUGAAACUUAAAUGAAUUGACGGGGUCAUAGCUGUUUCCUG